UAGGGUUUGAUCCUGGCUCAGAACGUACGCUGGCGGCAUGCCUAACACAUGCAAGUCGAACGAAGUAGCAAUACUUAGUGGCAGACGGGUGAGUAACAUGUAGGUAUCUGCCCUUUGGCCUGGAAUAACACGAGGAAACUUGUGCUAAUACCGGAUAAGUCUUUACGGAGAAAGCUUUAUGCACCAUUGGAUGAGCCUGCACUUGAUUAGUUUGUUGGUGGGGUAAUGGCCUACCAAGACUGUGAUCAAUAGCUGAUUUGAGAGGAUGAUCAGCCACAUUGGGACUGAGACACGGCCCAAACUCCUACGGGAGGCAGCAGUGGGGAAUCUUGCACAAUGGAGGAAACUCUGAUGCAGCGAUGCCGCGUGAGUGAAGAAGGCCCUUGGGUUGUAAAGCUCUUUCGUCGGGGAAGAAAAUGACUGUACCCGAAUAAGAAGGUCCGGCUAACUUCGUGCCAGCAGCCGCGGUAAUACGAAGGGACCUAGCGUAGUUCGGAAUUACUGGGCUUAAAGAGUUCGUAGGUGGUUGAAAAAGUUAGUGGUGAAAUCCCAGAGCUUAACUCUGGAACUGCCAUUAAAACUUUUCAGCUAGAGUAUGAUAGAGGAAAGCAGAAUUUCUAGUGUAGAGGUGAAAUUCGUAGAUAUUAGAAAGAAUACCAAUUGCGAAGGCAGCUUUCUGGAUCAUUACUGACACUGAGGAACGAAAGCAUGGGUAGCGAAGAGGAUUAGAUACCCUCGUAGUCCAUGCCGUAANCGAUGUGUGUUAGACGUUGGAAAUUUAUUUUCAGUGUCGCNGNNAAACCGAUAAACNCACCGCCUGGGGAGUACGACCGCAAGGUUAAAACUCAAAUGAAUUGACGGGGACCCG
rnacentral:rRNA from 1 species